UUUUAUUUUCCUAUUGCAUUCUAUUAAAUGAAUGGCAACAUAAAAUAACAAUAUCUUAGAGAUAGACCAUGGUAUAUUGUUAACUAUGAGAAACUGACACCAUUAGCCUAAUGAAUAUUCAUUAUCACUGACAUCCUACAUAAUAAAUAUUCAUUAUCUCUGACAUCAUAAACUUUAUGAAUAUGCAUUUUUACUGUCAUGGUAUAAACUCAAUGAAUAUUCAUUAUAAAUGACAUCAUACACUUAAUGAAUAUUCAUAACCUGUGUUAUGCCAGAGAAGAAAAAGCUCACACAUUGAAGUCGUAAAACCACUAUCACCCACAUUUGCAGAAUUUUCUACCAAGAUUACAUAUAUAACACAUAAUGAUUAUACAGAGGAGUACAGGUAAAUGAGGAAAAUAUCAGACUAUUCAAACAGCCUCAUGAAUAUUCAACAAACAGGUAUAGCCAUCAUGUCCUGUGCUUUGGACAAUACAUACAGGUACAUUCAAGACAAAUAUUUAAAAAGGUGAGCAAAUUAUCUACAUACAUGUAAUUCCACACAGCUAUGAAUCUGAAGAAUCCUGAUUUUUUGUUUUCAAACAGGACCUUUAUGUCCUUGAUUCAUACCCUUCUGUGACAAUGAAUAUUCAACUACAGUAGCUUAAUUCUAAAAUGGACUAUGACAAAUCUUGUCUCUAUAUACUUAAUCACAAAUUAAACUCAGUUGAACAGUUUUGUAGCGGAAGCCUUCACACAAGGAAAAUUUGAAAGUUUUGGUGAGGCAAUGUUCAAAUAGCCAUGUGGAAAAUAAAUUCAGAUUCUAACUAUGCUGCUUAAGAUUUCACAUCACAGAAUUGUCAUAAAUAAGUUUUAAAAAAGUCUAACAACGUUGAUCAAUAAAAUCAAUAUAUAUAUACUGGGAAUGUGUAAAAGCAACGAGAUCCAUAUCACAAUACUCACGAAUAUCUAACAAUGUCUGUUACAAGGGCAGCCAUCUCAAACUUAGGUAAACUCUCAAUAAAAUAACGCUUAAGGUAACAAUGAAAUAAAUAAACAAGGCAACAACAACAACAACAAUAACAACAAUAGAUUGAGAAUUUUCAGAAUUAUAUACAAUACUGUAGUAUAUCUUACAGGGAAUGGAACAGCAUAAUUACAAUACCAUGUACAGGUAAAGCCAGGUAACUUAAUGAGACAACAGUAUCUAAUACAUGUACAGUACAGGUAAAACCAGGUAACUUAAUUAGAAAAUAGUAUAUAAUACAUGUACUGUACAGGAAAUUCAGGUAACUUAAUGAGACAACAGUAUCUAAUACAUGUACAGUACAGGUAAAACCAGGUAACUUAAUGAGACAAUAGUAUCUAAUACAUGUACAGUACAGGUAAAACCAGGUAACUUAAUGAGACAAUAGUAUGUAAUACAUGUACAGUACAGGUAAAUCCAGGUAACUUAAUGAGACAAUAGUAUCUAAUACAUGUACUGUACAGGUAAAUCCAGGUAACUUAAUGAGACAAUAGUAUCUAAUACAGGUAAUGUACAGGUAAAUCCAGGUAACUUAAUCUGACAAUAGUAUCUUGUACUGUACAGGUAAAGCCAGGUAACUUAAUGAGACAAUAGUAUCUAAUACAUGUAAUGUACAGGUAAAUUCAGGUAACUUAAUCUGACAAUAGUAUCUUGUACUGUACAGGUAAUGCCAGGUAACUUAAUGAGACAAUAGUAUCUUGUACAGUACAGGUAAAACCAGGUAACUUAAUCAGACAAUAAUACCUUAUCUAUGUACUGCCUACCUGCAGCAAACCUUCUAAAUAUGUAUGUUCUCUAUCGAUUGAAUGAUUGUACAAAUUGUUGAAAACAUGUCAGAAAAUUGACAAACAGUAUUAGAAUAUAUACAUUAAAAUAUUAAUGUAAAUGAUUGUAAUGUAUGGGACACUGAGUUUUAUAGAGGCGUUGGGAUAGGAGACAAUGAUUGUUUUUAUUUGGUAACUAUAAAUUAAAAAAAAUAUUGUAAAAUGUGGUAAAUAAUUGUCUAUACUAUCUUGUUUCUAUCUAACAGUAAAAUAUACAAAAAUCCAAGAGUCACAAUUAAAGAUGUUACGAAAUAAAUUUUAAAAGAUUAUCAUGAAUUUUUGAAAUGGAUUAGAUUACUACAACGCCACCUUAAUGGUCUGCCCUAAAUAUAACAUAUAGACUUAUUGGUCUAGCCUAAAUAUAACAUAUAGACUUAUUGGUCUAGCCUAAAAAUUACAUAUAGACUUAUUGGUCUAGCUUAAAAAUAACAUAUAGACUUAUUGGUCUAGCCUAAAUAUAAUUUAAAGAUUUAUUGGUUUAGCCUAAAUGUAACAAAGAUUUAUUUGUCCAGCCUAAAUAUAAUAUCUAGACUUAUUGGUCAAGCCUAAAUAUAACAUAAAGAUUUAUUGGUCUAGCCUAAAUAUAACAAAGAUUUAUUGGUCUAGCCUGAAUAUAAGAUAGACUUUCAUUACUACUUGUAUCAGAGACAUUCCUAGAAAAGUUCACACAAUUUAUAAAAAAAAUUAAAAAAAUUAAAGUAAUUAAAAAAAACCCAACAUUAUCUACCAGUAUUAGCAAGUUUUCAGAAGAAAAUUGUAAUUUUCUGUUCACAUUUUUUUCAGAUAUUAUCACAGGGACUUGACAACCUGUAGAUAUUAUAACUGCGGUAUAUGAAAUGAGUGGGUGACAUUCUAUUCAUCUGUUACUCAAAAUUGAUUGACAUUGACUAUUUACUACAAUCUGCUAACAGUUCAUUGCUUAAAUAUCUGGACUGUGGUUUGAAAUUUUUGCCAAGAUUCUGUGGAUAAUGUUAUAGAGCAUAAAAUAAUCACUUAAAGAUAAAAAAAAAAAAAAAAAAAACUUAACAAAACACAUAAAAAAAUUCUUUUAGUAAAUU